UACGUAGGGUGCAAGCGUUGUCCGGAAUUAUUGGGCGUAAAGAGCUCGUAGCGGUUUGUUGCGUCGGCUGUGAAAUCCCGAGGCUCAACCUCGGGUCUGCAGUCGAUACGAGCAAACUAGAGUGUUGCAGGGGAGACUGGAAUUCCUGGUGUAGCGGUGAAAUGCGCAGAUAUCAGGAGGAACACCGGUGGCGAAGGCGGGUCUCUGGGCAACAACUGACGUGAGGAGCGAAAGCGUGGGGAGCGAACAGG
rnacentral:rRNA from 1 species